rnacentral:rRNA from 1 species
UCAAGUUACAAAGGGCGCACGGUGGAUGCCUUGGCGCCAGGAGGCGAUGAAGGGCGUGGCAAGCUGCGAUAAGCCUCGGUGAGCCGCAAGCAGGCUUUGACCCGGGGAUGCCCGAAUGGGGAAACCCAGGGCGGCAAAACCGCCCUACCCCGCCCUGAAUCCAUAGGGGCGGGGGGCCCACCGGGGGAACUGAAACAUCUUAGUACCCCGAGGAAAAGAAAUCAAAACGAGAUUCCCUAAGUAGCGGCGAGCGAACGGGGAAGAGCCCAAACCCCUGGACUGUAAGGUGGCAGCCGUUUUUCCAGGGGGGUUUUGGGAAGCCCUCUUCGGGGAUCUGCCAGUCUCCGGGGGAGUCAAAAAACCGUACCCUAGCCGAAGCGGCCUGGAAAGGCCGGCCACAGAGGGUAAAAGCCCCGUAGGCGAAAGGGUCCGGUCUCCCCGAGGGCUAUCCCGAGUACCGCGGGACACGAGGAAUCCCGCGGGAAGAUGGGAGGACCACCUUCCAAGGCUAAAUACUCCUGGCGACCGAUAGCGGAUAGUACCGUGAGGGAAAGGUGAAAAGCACCCCGGGAGGGGAGUGAAAUAGAACCUGAAACCGUGUGCCUACAAGCAGUCAGAGGCCCAUGCCCAGCCCUCAUUGAGUUCUGGGCGGGCUGAUGGCGUACUUUUUGUAGAACGGGCCGGCGAGUUACGGUAGCGAGCGAGGUUAAGGGCAUACCCGGAGCCGCAGCGAAAGCGAGUCCGAAAGGGCGCAAGUUCGUUAUCGUAGACCCGAAACCGGGUGAUCUACCCAUGGGCAGGGUGAAGCGGGAGUAAAGUUCCGUGGAGGCCCGAACCGACCGGCGUUGAAAAGCCGGCGGAUGACCUGUGGGUAGGGGUGAAAUGCCAAUCGAACCCGGAAAUAGCUGGUUCUCCCCGAAAUAGCUUUAGGGCUAGCCUCAAGGGAGAUUGGCGGAGGUAGAGCUCUGAAAAGGCUAGGGGCGUAAACCACGUUACCGAACCUUUUCAAACUGCGAAUGCUGCCAAUUGCUCCUUGGGAGUCAGACUACGGGGGAUAAGCUUCGUGGUCAAAAGGGAAACAGCCCAGACCAGCAGCUAAGGUCCCCAAGUGCGGGCUAAGUGGGAAAGGAUGUAAGGUCGCUAAAACAACCAGGAUGUUGGCUUAGAAGCAGCCAUCAUUUAAAGAGUGCGUAAUAGCUCACUGGUCGAGUGACUUUGCGCCGAAAAUGUAACGGGGCUAAAGCCCGCCACCGAAGCUCUGGAUCCCGGUUUAUACCGGGGUGGUAGGGGAGCGUACCCCGGGCGCCGAAGCCAUACCGGAAGGAGUGGUGGAGCCCGGGGCAGUGAGAAUGCCGGCAUGAGUAAGCGAGAAGGCAGGUGAGAAUCCUGCCCGCCGAAAGCCUUAGGUUUCCUGGGGAAGGCUCGUCCGCCCAGGGUAAGCCGGGACCUAAGCCGAGGCGUAAAGCGUAGGCGAUGGGCAAUCGGUUGAUAUUCCGAUGCCGCCAGUUACCCGCCAUGAGGAUGGGGUGACGCAGAAGGGUAGGCCCAGCGCACCGUUGGUCGUGUGCGUCUAAACCUGUAGGGCGGAAGGUAGGAAAAUCCGCCUUCCAAAAAGCCCGAGAGGUGACGGGGAGCGAAAACAAGUAGCGAACUGGUUGAUCCCAAACUGCCGAGAAAAGCCUCUAACGAGGACUUCAGGUGCCCGUACCGCAAACCGACACAGGUAGGUGGGGAGAGGAUCCCGAGGCGCGCGAGCGAACCUCCGUUAAGGAACUCGGCAAAAUGACCCCGUAACUUCGGGAGAAGGGGUACCCCGUUAGGGUGAUAGUUUAAACGAACUAGAGCCCGAGGGGGUCGCAGAGAAGUGGCCCAGGCGACUGUUUACCAAAAACACAGGUGCCUGCUAAAGCGAAAGCUGAAGUAUAGGUGCUGACGCCUGCCCGGUGCUGGAAGGUUAAGGGGAAGGGUCAGCAAUUCGGAAGUCAGAGGCCAGAAGUCAGAAGUAAAUACGACCUCUGACAUCCGGUUUCCGACUUCCGAAUUGCGAAGCUCUGAACCGAAGCCCCAGUAAACGGCGGCCGUAACUAUAACGGUCCUAAGGUAGCGAAAUUCCUUGUCGGGUAAGUUCCGACCC